AAAGUCGGACUUGGAGUUAUUUUUGUGUUCAAUCUUGAAUCCAAAUCCACCUGGUGUGUUGAUCCAUGACGGGAUUUGUAGACGCCAUGACGCUUUCCUCCAAACUGUCAGUUUGUUGUCUCGACGAGGCGGGUGAAAUGUAAACAUACAAAUGAUCUCUCUUGGAAAUUCGUUUAAUGUAAUAGUUUUAAAGCCAUUCGCUAAGCAAUAUUUUUUGGCGAGUGUUUGUAAACMUUGCAUUCUAUUAAUUUAACAUUGGGUUGUUUGAUAAAGUUGGCGCUAUUUUGAUGAAUGAUUAGUUGACCGUUAGCUAACUUUCUAGAUAACGUUAGCCGCUAGCUAGAUUAGCUAACAACAAGUUUAAAAAAAACGAGUUAUUUCGUGAUCAUCAAAUAAUGCAUUGCUAUAAAAACGAAUUAACGAAACAUUUCGUUUUGUUACAGAAUGGAAGACUAUGAAAAGUUCAUACAACGCCGACUUUACGAACUGAAAAGGAAGGAUAGCAACGACCACAACAAGAACCAACGCCGGACACUGGAAUCACCAUGUACUCGCCACGGAUCAUCAGCCAUCCGUUUCCAUGGCUCACCCAUCCUUCCUCCAUUGCUCACAGGAGUGCAAAGAGAAGAGAUGCAGAGACACAGAGAGGCAGCCAAGAGGACGAUGGAUAGGAGGAAGACUCAGCCCUCUGAGACGAGGAUGUCCUACGUUCAGAACAUUCUACACAGUGUUCAGCUGAGGCAAGCACCAACACUGGAGGAGUUCUUUCAGGGUGAACCAGGACUAACGGCAGCCAAAACCACCAACCUACACCACAGCAAUGUCCGACAGGUUCUAGCGUCGCAGAAUGAUMAUGUCACUGAGACCAAGGACAGCUUGCCGGGGUCGUCCUCCCCACCAACCUUAACCGUCAUGCAUGAUGGGAAAGCAGGCAUCCUUGUCCGAGGUCCUCCCAUGACAUCGACGGCCUACGGCGCCUUCACAACAAAUCACCUUACAACUCUCCAUAACACCACCACUGUGAGGGAGACCUUCCUAGAUAAGCUGGUCUGUGACCCCAUGACACCUUCUCUAGCUAGAGAGACAACCACACACACCAACCAGGUUGCUCCACAAACAGAGACCCGGACCAGGGAGAGACUCUUGUAUGACCAGGAUAAGACCACCAAUGCUGAAUGUGUUCUGGAGGAGGACCUGGGUUCAGGAGAAGCAACGGUGGAUCCUCUAGCUGACAUAAGCCACCAGUCUUCUGGGUACGCGACGUGUGAAAACGCGGAGGCCACCUGGGUCCUGAGUCGGACUGAGGCUGGGGAGAGCAUUUUGUCAGGGCCCGAGGAGGGGACACCAGUUGGAACGGGGGGGUAUCUCCUACACAGCACCUCUGAUACAAACACAACCAAGGCAUGUAAUAUCAUCAGCCAUCCUCCCAUUGAUGCUGAAGAUCUGGAGGAGGGGUCGUCACCGUGUGACGAUGACCUCAUAACCGGUCGCCCCGCAGAUGAGGCGAGCGUGACGUCGUCCUGGUGUAAUGACGUCAUACCAGACUAUUUAGAGGAAGCGUUGGUGACGUGGCCUCUACAGAGCAGCGAUAUCACACCUCCUGUAGAAGACCGCAGAGCAAGUCACCCAGGAAAGAAGUGUAGCACUGCUAAUAUUGUGACUUUCCCUCAGCAUCAAGCCUCAUCAUCACUAUCAGACCGUCCUGAACCCAAGAUUGUAGUGACAUGUCCUCAGGCUGAGGCUUCGACACCGGACCUCUGCAAACCAGAUCAGAACCAGGCGUCAGACUUAGACCUGGACCGACCGGAGGGACCAUACCGGCUCAGCCUCCAGACUCUUCUAAAGAAAUCCCAGGCCGCUUUGGAACGCCCCAAACCAGGCAGGAACCAGCCAGGAUCAGAACCAAAGAGCCAGGCUGGAGAUGUAGACUUGGACCCGGAACCAGUGGCAGGGCCGUACCGCCUCAGCCUCCAGACCCUGCUGAAGAAGUCCCAGGAGCACCGGAGACGCCAACGUCAGCUGAAGAACCAGACCAAGGCCUCUACUUGUCCUACCGGGACCCAGGAGGCCUCGACACACCAGAAGAUGGAGGAGGAGAUGAGUUUCUCAGACAAGGAGAAUGAGGAGUUCCUGCAGUCAGGGAGAGUGGUGGCAGAGGGAAGGAAAACCCGGGACAGGGAUUGGAGAAAGGAUCAUCUGGGGAUGGGAGUCCAGUUUUCUGGGUCGCCACCACUAGAGAUAUUCCCUAAGGAAGCGUGGGUUCAACGUGAGGAGGAGAAGGCGAGGUCUAGCAUUGUGGAAAGAAUGGGACUCGAAAAAGGAUGUCGUGAAGGAAUAUUGAAGGAAUUGGAGGCUGGAAAUGGCCCUUCACAUUUGGUUGGUCUAGAAGGAGACACCCAAUCUCCUCCAGGAGUGGACAUUGAUGCGGGCUCGGCAGUCGAAGACAUCCAGCUACACCUCUCACCAGACAUCACAGCAGCACCGUCAAUGCUAAUGGAGAACCUUCCACAUCCUAUCUCAGCCGAUGCCUCCAUAACCCAGAAAUCAUUCUACCUAGUCAGGGAGAAGAGCACUAGCCUGCCGAGGCCUUCCUCUCUGGGAGMUAGUAGGUUCCAGACCGUCCCUACCCCCCAGUUUAGUAUGAGCCCUAUCCGCUGUAAGAGUAAAGGAGACAGUGGGGGAGGAGGGCGUGGCACCCCCAAGAGGCAAAUCCUGGUAAACACACCUUUGAAUGUAGACAACGAGGUAGGGUCGGUGACUGGGCAGGAAAAUGUUGCUUGGGACCAAAGGCAUCUGCAUAGAGUGCCCCUAGUGGCUGGGGAUGGUAUAUCACAAGGCUUUACUGCUCCUACAACUCCCCUAGUGGCUGGGGAUGGUACAACACCUAUGCGUCGGAGCUCAGACCAGGCAGAACAGAUAGCUCAGCUGGAGCUCAACCUGUCCAGCCUCAAAAUACUGAUCUCAGACCUGGAGUCCACACUAACAGAGACACCAGAGAGKCACCAGACACACAACAACAGCCACACUGAUAAUAGUAGUAACCUUACCAUGGAGUUGCCACAUAAAUACAUGGACUACCAUACACCUGAGAGUCAGGCAGAGAGUAACCUUACUGACAGUGAGAAAGGAAGAGGGGAUGGAGGUCAGAGGUCAGCUGGUAAGAUGACGGUGGUCCCCUGUAGAGUCCAGGGGUGUGACAGCGUACCUCCAUUGGUCAAGGAGGUGGAGAUCACUGUUACAACAGGUUACAAAAAACAAGAUGGUCGCCAGCAGCAGCCUCUUGCAGCGCGCCUCGUCACCUCCCUCACUCAGAAGAGGAGAGUUUCUGACGUGUUCCGGAAGGUUCCAUAUGAUGUCAUCAAGGUUCCGUCGGAAGUCAUCAAGGUUCCGUCGGAAGUCAUCAAGGUUCCGUCGGAAGUCAUCAAGGUUCGGAAUGACGUCAAGAUUCCAGCAUCACACAAAACACCUUUCUCCGUCCUCUCAGACGCCAGUAACAACCAGCACCAGCCAAUGGAGUGGAAGAGUUAUCCGGAGGACCCCGCCCACUUCCAAUCCAUCAACCAAUCGUAUGACGUGGACACGCCCUCAGGGCUCUGGCUCCAGGGAGGGUCAGGGUCAGAGGGGUCGUUGAAAGGUCAUUACCCCGCGGGGAAGCAGCUGACCCCUGAGAACGGAGGUGGUGGUCAGGGAGGGGCGUCAAGGGCCAAACGUAGACUGGUCAUGCACACYACAGAGGGGAACAGGGGAGGAGGACGAAGAGGGGUGAUGGACAGGCCUCCCUCCAGUACUCCUGAAGCUGCGGUGCUGUCACACAGUCAGGAGAGCCAGCAGCUGAAGCAGCUCCAGCUGACCCAUGCAGGCCAGGUCAGAGCCCUGAAGGAGGAGCAGAGGAGACAGCAGCAACAACUACUGCAGUCUCCCAGGUGCCUGUCUGUGUGUUAUGGUCCCCUGGUGGCAGCAGCAGUGAAGGGAUACCUAACCAGGAGGCUCCACAACACAAGAGAGAGUGGGACAGCUGCUAUGUACCAUCAAGGACACGCAGCAGUUCCUAAGUCCUUCCAGCCCCAGAGCCCUGGGAGAGACAGCAGGCAAGACCUGGUGCUGGCGGAGAGAGUCACACUGCAGCUCCGCUCGGCGCGUUAUGAGGUCCAGGACAUCUUCUGUGUCAGCAGAGACAGGAUGCAGAUCAUCAGCUGGGACAGACAGCUGGCCAGGGACAGAGAGAUGAGACGCAAGACUGGGGAAACGGGGUCGACCAGGAGGAAGAGUUCUCUGUCAGCUGCUACACAGAAAGCCCUGGAGAGGAAGAGAGGAGUCAUGAUGAGGAAAACGGCAGAGAGGCAGAGGGGGACUGGAGCUGGGGUUGUAGCUGGCCAGAAGGGCCCUCUGGCUGGGGCAGAGGGGACUGGAGCUGGGGUUGUAGCUGGCCAGAAGGGCCCUCUGGCUGGGGCAGAGGGGACUGGAGCUGGAGUUGUAGCUGGCCAGAAGGGCCCUCUGGCUGGGGCAGAGGGGAACGUCGUGAAACGGAUGCGUGGGUCUUUUCGACCCAACCCUCAAAGGGUCCCCAAGACCACCCAGUCCCGCAGAUCUCGGUGA
ensembl:lncRNA